UGGCCUACGGGGGGCAGCAGUGGGGAAUAUUGCACAAUGGGGGGAACCCUGAUGCAGCGACGCCGCGUGAGUGAAGAAGUAUUUCGGUAUGUAAAGCUCUAUCAGCAGGGAAGAAAAUGACGGUACCUGACUAAGAAGCCCCGGCUAACUACGUGCCAGCAGCCGCGGUAAUACGUAGGGGGCAAGCGUUAUCCGGAUUUACUGGGUGUAAAGGGAGCGCAGACGGCUGUGCAAGUCUGGAGUGAAAUGCCGGGGCUCAACCCCGGAACUGCUUUGGAAACUGUGCAGCUAGAGUGCGGGAGAGG
rnacentral:rRNA from 1 species